rnacentral:tRNA from 1 species
GCGUGUGACGGGAACCAGGCAUACCUCUUUUACUCAAAAUAAAAGGUUUGGGAGUUCGACUCUCCCCACGCGCAC